rnacentral:rRNA from 1 species
AUGCACGCUGGCGGCGUGCCUAAUACAUGCAAGUAGCACGCUGAAGGAGGAGCUUGCUCUUCUGGAUGAGUUGCGAACGGGUGAGUAACGCGUAGGUAACCUGCCUGGUAGCGGGGGAUAACUAUUGGAAACGAUAGCUAAUACCGCAUGACAACAGUUAUUGCAUGAUAACUGUUUAAAAGGGGCAACUGCUCCACUACCAGAUGGACCUGCGUUGUAUUAGCUAGUUGGUGAGGUAACGGCUCACCAAGGCGACGAUACAUAGCCGACCUGAGAGGGUGAUCGGCCACACUGGGACUGAGACACGGCCCAGACUCCUACGGGAGGCAGCAGUAGGGAAUCUUCGGCAAUGGACGGAAGUCUGACCGAGCAACGCCGCGGGAGUGAAGAAGGUUUUCGGAUCGUAAAGCUCUGUUGUAAGAGAAGAACGAGUGUGAGAGUGGAAAGUUCACACUGUGACGGUAGCUUACCAGAAAGGGACGGCUAACUACGUG